rnacentral:rRNA from 1 species
UACAGAGGGGGCAAGCGUUGUUCGGAAUUACUGGGCGUAAAGGGCGCGUAGGCGGCCUUCUAAGUCAGACGUGAAAUCCCUCGGCUUAACCGGGGAACUGCGUCUGAUACUGGAUGGCUUGAAUCCGGGAGAGGGAUGCGGAAUUCCAGGUGUAGCGGUGAAAUGCGUAGAUAUCUGGAGGAACACCGGUGGCGAAGGCGGCAUCCUGGACCAAUAUUGACGCUGAGGAGCGAAAAGCUAGGGGAGCAAACGGG